rnacentral:rRNA from 1 species
UAAGGAAUAUUGGACAAUGGAGGCAACUCUGAUCCAGCCAUGCCGCGUGAAGGAUGAAGGCCCUAUGGGUCGUAAACUUCUUUUACAGGGGACAAAUAUCUUGCUCGUGAGCAGGAUUGAUGGUACUCUGAGAAUAAGGGUCGGCUAACUUCGUGCCAGCAGCCGCGGUAAUACGAAGGACCCGAGCGUUAUCCGGAUUUAUUGGGUUUAAAGGGUGCGUAGGCGGACUUAUAAGUCAGUGGUGAAAUCUCCCAGCUUAACUGGGAAACUGCCAUUGAAACUAUUUGUCUUGAGUACAUUUGAGGCGGGCGGAAUGUGUCAUGUAGAGGUGAAAUUCUUAGAUAUGACACAGAACACCAAUUGCGAAGGCAGCUCGCUAAACUGUAACUGACGCUGAGGCACGAAAGCGUGGGGAUCAAACAGGAUUAGAUACCCGUGUAGUCC